UACGGAGGGAGCUAGCGUUAUUCGGAAUUACUGGGCGUAAAGCGCACGUAGGCGGCUUUGUAAGUUAGAGGUGAAAGCCUGGAGCUCAACUCCAGAAUUGCCUUUAAGACUGCAUCGCUUGAAUCCAGGAGAGGUGAGUGGAAUUCCGAGUGUAGAGGUGAAAUUCGUAGAUAUUCGGAAGAAACACCAGUGGCGAAGGCGGCUCACUGGAGCUGGUAUUGACGCUGAGGUGCGAAAGCGUGGGGAGCAAACAGG
rnacentral:rRNA from 1 species